rnacentral:rRNA from 1 species
UACAGAGGUCUCAAGCGUUGUUCGGAUUCAUUGGGCGUAAAGGGCGCGUAGGCGGCGGGGUAAGUCGGGUGUGAAAUCUCAGGGCUCAACCCUGAAACUGCACUCGAUACUGCUCUGCUUGAGGACUGGAGAGGAGACUGGAAUUCACGGUGUAGCAGUGAAAUGCGUAGAUAUCGUGAGGAAGACCAGUGGCGAAGGCGAGUCUCUGGACAGUUACUGACACUGAGGCACGAAGGCCAGGGGAGCAAACGGG